CCCGGCUCAGCUCAGCCCAGCCCAGUUCAGCUCAGUUCUGUUCAGCUCAGCCCGGCUCAGCUCAGCCCAGCCCAACUCAGCUCAGUUCAGCUCAGUUCGGCUCAGCCCAGCCCAGCUCAACCCAGCUCAGCCCAGUUCAGCUCAGCUCAGCUCGGCUUAGCCCAGCUCGGCUCAGCGCAGCCCGGCUCAGCUCAGCCCGGCUCAGCGCAGCCCGGCUCAGCUCAGCCCGGCUCAGUUCAGCUCAGCUCAGCCCGGCUCAGCCCAGCCCGCUCCGUUUACCUCAGCGGAGUCCGCUUGUCCCCAGGCAGGCGGUGCCGAUGCCCAAGGAACAGGAUUUUUAUCCCGCAGCUGUGGCGGUUCCUGGUGGUUGUCCCCAGCCUGAGGCAGCCCCUCCUCGCCCUCACACGCCCAGCAGGCUCAGGGAGCCCCGGAGGGCUCGGCUGCUGUUCCGUGGGCGCCAGGUUGGACAGGAGCUGGAAAGAAGUAAAAGCCCCAGACGCGGUGUUUCAUCUUUUUAUUAUUUUAUUAAUUUUUGUUGGAGGUGCACCAAAACGGCCACAUCAUGGGGCUGAAUUUCACUGACUCACAGAAUCUUUAGGGUUGGAAGGGACCUCUGGAGAAAUUCCAGUCCAACCUCCCUGGCAAGACAGGGUCACCUGGAGCACAGGAAUGCGUCCAGACUAAACAGGCCCAGCUCCUGCAGUCCCUCCUCAUAAGAGAGAUGCUCCAGACCCUUCAUCAUCUUCGUGGCCUCGGCUGGACCCUCUCCAGUAGCUUCUUGACUGUCUUGUACUGAGGAGCCCAGAACUGGACACAGCACUCCAGGUGUGGCCUCACUAGGGCUGAGUAGAGAGGGAGGAUCACCUCCCUCAGCCUGCUGGCCACACUCUUCCAGAUGCACCCCGAGAUGCUAUUUAGCAAUGAAGAGAUACCUAACCUGGGACUCGGGCUCCGGGCUGUCCAGCACGGCCCCUGCUGUUUGCCCCAGCUGUUUCCUGCUAUGGGUCCCACUCCAACAGCAGUCCAGAAGAGCAAAGGGUGAUUCAGACAAGGGUGCUCUUCUUGCCCUAGGUUUCUCAAGGACUGAUUACAGUUGGAUUAAAUUGAACUCAAAAUGGUCUGAUUUCUCUUCUGGGCAUCCAUGUGAAUCACAGACACGGUCUACAUAGAACCAAAGCAGGCACUGACACUCCUGAGUGCUGCUGGGAGCUCAGUGUCUGCAGUGCCAGCGACCACACUAAUAAUUCAUGGCACGCAUUUCCUGAGUGGUGGAAGAUGUGUUCCUGUUCUGAUCCUUCCUGUGCUGUAAUUUAAGUGGUAAAAUGAAGCUGACAAGAAUCCAGCACUUAGACUUGGAGGGUUUGGGCCACUUUGUGCUCUGCUUUAAAGUAACAGAAGAAAGGAGGUGGAACAGCAGGCACAGCAUGCACUCAGAACCUCAGACAUCGGUUUUGAUUAACCCAAAAUGUUUUGCCAUGGAUUACUUCAUCCCUUGAAGGUGCAUGAGGACUCAAAUUAUUUAUAUUUUAAAAGUCAUAUAUGAGAAGCUGCAAACAUGGCACAGAUCAAAACUACAAAGUACAAAAAGGGCAAAAAGCCUAUUUUUAAUGGGUCAAGAAACCUAGAGGGGGCAAGGAAAGAGAAGAACCUUUGUUUCUGUUGCUGGAGAAGGAUGCUAACAGGUCUUUUUAUCCCUCUUAAAGAUUCAAAUUAUAAAUACCAUCUGUAGGUCACUGAAGAAUGUUUGGGAAUCUGGCAUAGCAAGCACUAAGGGUAAAAUCCAAGCAUCCACAGAGAGUUCUUUGGGAACACUACUUGAAUCUGUUUAAUGGUAUCAUGGUUGUACUUAAAUGAAACAAACAAAAAAAAAGGAAAAAAAAAAAAGAGAAGAUUACCAUACCAAAGAAUUAAACUCCUUCUGAUUUUUUUAUAGAGAAUGAAGAACACUCCUACAUAGUUUCUCUGGUCCUUUGAUACUAAUUCUUUAAUGACAGAAGUGAUUUUUAAAGAUUUCUAUCUCUGCUGCUUGCUCCAGCCCACACUCACAAGGUUACCACCCCAUACGAGAAUCAGUAUCAAAGACCACUGCUCUCUUUUCACCUGAUUCAAUGUAGAUAUGUCCGUACAAAUUUUUUAACCAUUUAACUAAAUCUUUAAGAAACUAUUUUUAACUGUGAUUUAGCUUGUGUAUAGAGGAGCAAAGCCCAGCACUAAAAGAAUCCUGAAUUCUCUGACAUAAUUUGUCUGGGCUCUCUUCCUCUGCUGCAGGGCAUUAUAUCCAAAUACUUACUAUUGCCAUCAUUAUGGUAGCUCAUUAUGAAACAACAUUGGAUAAUGGACUCUGCUCCUUCCUUUCUUCAGCCUUGGCUGUCUUCAUAAGAUUUUUUUAUUAAUCACCUAAUAGUCACCCACAAAGUGAAAACUAUUGUAAAGGAACAGGUGUACUUCAUUUUGAUGAUGGAAUCCUUUAUAGCUAGUGCUGAGGUAUGGAUUAUUUAUUGUCAUUCUCUUCUAUCAGUAAAUCAUAUGACCACAUUGAGUGCUUUUAAUUCUGCAGAAAUUCAUGAUAUUUUACAGUGUGAUAAGCUGUACAAUUAACAUUGCAUUCACCUUAGCAGUAUCAGAUGAUGAAUAAAAAAGCUUUAGAAGUA